GUGGGUGUAGCUCAGUGGUAGAGCACUCGCUUAGCAUGCAGGAGGUCCUGGGUUUUAUCCCCAGUACCUCUA
rnacentral:tRNA from 1 species